ensembl:misc_RNA
CUGACUGCCCUGAAGGCUUCUGCCCCCAGAACAGAUACAGCAUGGGCAGCAGCUGGGAAAGCUUCCCCUACAAUGCCCAGCCAACAAGCUGCAAGCCCAAGAGGGAGGGAGCCAUCUCUGGUGGAACGAGAGAUUCAGCAGCCUUUCCGGAGUGGUUGUU